AUCUCUGAUAAGCGUUAUUGUGGGAGCCAAAUGAUUAAAUCAGUCAGUGACGAUCAGUAUCUUAUUACACACCACACAAACCAGGUAGCGAUUCAGAUUUCCAGUUUUAAUCAUCACUUCUUUUUUUAUUUAAGCAGAUAUUUUCCAUUAGCAUUGUACAUGUCUGGAACCUACAGAGUUCUCCCAUGAAUACCCAAUUAUCUUCACACCUCCAUGCAGAGUUUCAGCAUCAUUCAUCACAUCAGCUCUUUAACGUCCAGUCUGUCGGCUUGCGGGGGGGUGGGGGGGGGAAGGUUUUUCCUAAAAUAAAGAGUCGGAGCCGUCAGCAGGCACUGUUCAUGUUCAUCUAACACUCCCACGGAGUUGGAUGGAAUCUCAUCGAGCAUUCUGAAAUCCAGCCACCUACAAGGUCCUGUGCAACUCUUGAUCAUGUGUGAGGCAUCUGAGGGGGAGGGGGGGGGUGUUGUAGAGGUAGGGGGCUUUUAAGGCGGGAAGCUGGUGUAGAGUUUCUGUGGUAGUCGGUUUCACCCGCUUCGAAGCAUGACUGACAGCUUCGGCACAACACACCGGCCUUCUGCCCAAUCAUGGGGGGAGGGAGAGCUGAGGAGGGGCGGGGUUUAAAACAAAGAUGGGAGUAUUAAAAAAAAACAAAUACAUCUUUGCAGGUGGAGUAGGAUGACAGACUGAUACCGGGGAGAACACAGUCCUCAAGAAUAAAAGCAAAUACAAUAGCAAACAUUCUGACACACACACCCCAAUAAAACAAAAACAAAAACAAAUGGCAAACAAGCAUUUCAAUCAAACCAUACAAAGUGACAUCAGGCCUUUCCAAAGUGACAUCAAGUUUCUCUUUUUAAAUCCCAUUCAAUCCCACUGGUCUUAAAUCAAUAAAGUCUCCCAUCGUUCUCUGUAAACCAGAAAGUACUCAGCGGCUCCUCUUUUAAUUUUUAUGGCUGGUCAGCAAGGUCGGGGUCCACUCUGAAAACAACAACAACAACAACAACAACAACAAGAGCGGAUCUCACCGGCCAGAGACGCCGGCGAGUAUGAGGGGGCGCCCGCCGUUCACCAACGCCAUGGCCUUUCUCAGAACUAAAAACGUCAGCGACACAGGCAAUGAUUUCAGCAGCAUCAUCAGGGGACUAAUCAACAUAGUUUACGUUACAGCACAUUCAGAGAGAGAGAAACGCAUGGCGCCGGACAGGUACAAAUGGCAUCUUGUACAACGGAAAGUCAAGUUUGCUUUAUACAAUCACAUUUCUAUAGCGACGCUGAACAUUCCACCACUGAAAAAAAAAAACCUAAAUAAAUCUUUUAAAUCUGUUGGUACGGCUCGUUCCCCGAAGCACCAUUGUACAGCAGACAUGGAAGUUUGUGAUAUGACACGGAACAAGUACUGGGAGCGGUGAGCAGGCUCGAAGGGCGAUACAUUUCUAGGCGCCAUCUUCUUCUACGAGUGCUCGACCAAACACACACUGCAAAGUUCUCACAUGAACCACCCAACAGCCUUGGGUGGAGUUUUUUUUGGAGUAAGAGGCAGGGCCGACCGCGGGAGGGGACCCCAACCCUGGUAUGCAAAUGUUUAAAAAGGUGCCACUCUGGAGCACAGUGUGCAGAGGGGGGGGGGGAUCCUGGAGGGCUUUGAAAAAACAGAAAAAAAGGCAAGGAGAGUGACACACCUCUCUUCCUACUUUACCUCUCAACUUCCCUUCACACGGGGGGGGGGGAAACGUACGAGAAAGGAGUGCUG
ensembl:lncRNA